rnacentral:piRNA from 1 species
UGGUAUUAGCUGUAACAGUCACUCCUCUUA